rnacentral:other from 1 species
AUUUCAAUCCCUCAUAGGUAGGCUACAAAC